rnacentral:tRNA from 1 species
UGGCUCAGUUGGUAGAGCAUGGCACUUGCAACUCCAGGGUUGUGGAUUCAAUUUCCAC